ensembl:lncRNA novel transcript
CUCCAUGUUGGUCAGGCUGGUGUCGAAGUCCUGACCUCAAGUGAUCCACCCGCCUCGGCCUCCCAAAGUGCUGGAAUUACAGGCGUGAGCCACGGUGCCUGGCCAAAAGUCUCCAUAUUAUUAAACAAUCUUCAGAAGCACAGUGCUGAAUGACUACAGUAAUAAUAUUCUGCCAUGGAUAUAUCAUAAUUUACUUAACAAUUCUUGUUUUAUUGGGCAUUUUUGAUGGAGGAUGAUGACAUUUUCAUAUUUAAUCAAUAUUUUAAAUUGAUGUAUUGAAAGUUGAGAACAUGAAGGUUUCUUUUGUUUAGUUUUGUUUGUUGGGUAUGUAUUACACUGUCUGACUUGAGCUUUAUUCACAUUUGCUCUCUAGGUUAUCCAAGGACAUGGAAAAGCCAACACCAUGGUAGCAUUAAUGAAAGUUUACCAAGAGGAAGAUGAAGCCUACCAGGAAUUAGUUACCAUGGCAACCAUGUUUUUCCAGUACUUACUGCAGCCAUUUAGGGCUAUGCGAGAAGUUGCAACUUUAUAAUUCCUUGGAUGAGGAUGACGUAGGUCCUACGUCUCCAGGAUAGUUGCCCUGGAGAAAGAAGCUGAAGAAUGGACCAGACGGGCUGAAGAAGCUGUUGUCUCUAUUCAAGAUAUCACAGUGAAUUAUUUUAAUUAGACAGUAAAAGCAUUAGCAGGAAUGCAAAAAGAAAUGGAACAGGAUGUGAAGAGAUUUGGCCAGGCUGCCUGGGCCACAGCAAUUCCCAGGUUGGAAAAACUUAAGCUAAUGCUAGCUCAAGAGACUCUGCAACUCAUGAGAGCGAAAGAAUUGUAUUUAAAUCGCAAAAGAGCUGAAAUUCAGGGAAAGAUGGAAGAUCUUCCAGAACAAGAAAAAAAUAUAAAUGUUGUAGAUGAAUUAGAAAUGCAAUUUUAUGAAAUUCAGUUAGAACUAUAUGAAGUUAAAUUUGAGAUAUUAAAAAACGAAGAAAUACUGCUUACUACACAGUUGGACUCUCUUAAAAGACUUAUAAAAGAUGAAAUUUAGAAUCAAGUUCAAAACAAAAAACUCUUUGGAAUUUUGAUUGUGAUUUUGCUUAAAAUUAGAGAUUACUUUGGGGAGAAUAGUGGUCUUUGCAAUUUUGAAUCUUCCUACCCAAGAACAUGAAAAACAGGAUGAAGUUGUCUAUUACGAUCCAUGUGAAAGUCCAGAGGAACUUAGUCAUUGACUGUGGUGGGGCUGCAGGACGAUAAGAAUUCGGAAGUGAAAGAACUCAGAAGGCAGUGCCAGCAGCUGGAGUCUGUUAAACGGGGCAGUCUGUGUCAAAAGAGCUUCUCUCCAGAGUAGAAAGGUAGGUACGCUCAGAGCGGCUUUCUUUUCUUUUCUCUUCCAGAGAUUUAUUCUUGUAUGAAGGAUAAAGAGGUAUUGAAAUAAGGUUUUUACCAACACAGUGAUUAAUUUUUUGUGUGCUUAUGUACUUAUCCAUGGCUAUAGUUAAAAUGAUUUUUAAUAUUUUUCUUAAAAAUAUUAUUUUUUUCUUUUGGGUUUUAAGCAUUUAGCAAAUCUCAAGGUUUUAAUUUAUUCAUUUAACAACUAUUUGUUGAAUGCCCACUGCAUACACAGGCACUUUUAUUUUUAUUUUUUUGAGACAGAGUCUUGCUCUGUCACCCAGGCUGGAGUGUGGAGG